AAGGUUUGGUCCUAGCCUUGAAAUCAGUUUUUAUUUAAUAUACACAUGCAAGUCUCCGCACCCCUGUGAAAACGCCCUCAACCCCCUCAUGGGGGUAGGAGCUGGUAUCAGGCUCAACUUUUGCCCAAGACACCUAGCCUCGCCACACCCACAAGGGACCUCAGCAGUGAUUAACAUUGAGCAUAAGCGUCAGCUUGACUCAGUUAAAUUUUACAGAGCCGGCCAAUCUGGUGCCAGCCGCCGCGGUUAUACCAGAAGCUCAAAUUGAUUUCUAUCGGCGUAAAGCGUGAUUAAAGUUAUAUUCCUCAUGGAGUCAAACUAAAAUUAAGCCGUGACACGCCUGUUACUUAAGAAGCCCAAAAACGAAAGUUACUCCAACUCUCUCCACUUGAACUCACGACAUCUGAGAAACAAACUGGGAUUAGAUACCCCACUAUGCUCAGUCGUAAACCUUUAACUACACCCACUCUCGCCUGGGAACUACGAGCCAAGCUUAAAACCCAAAGGACUUGACGGUACCCCACAUCCACCUAGAGGAGCCUGUCCUAUAAUCGAUAACCCACGUUUAACCUCACCAUUUUUAGCCUAUCAGCCUGUAUACCUCCGUCGUCAGCUUACCACGUGAGCGUUAGUGAGCUUAAUGUUACUCAACCAUACGUCAGGUCAAGGUGCAACUUAUGAAAUGGGAAGAGAUGGGCUACACUUUCUAACUUAGAACACACGAAAGAUCACCAAUGAAAAUUUGUCAGAAGGCGGAUUUAGCAGUAAACAGAAACCAAUAAGUUCCGUUUAAUCCGGCACUGGGAUGCGUACACACCGCCCGUCACCCUCCUCUAACGCUAUAACACAGUUUUUAACCUACUAAAGCUUCUCAGAAGAGGUAAGUCGUAACAUGGUAAGUAUACCGGAAGGUGUGCUUGGAUAA
rnacentral:ncRNA from 1 species